rnacentral:rRNA from 1 species
AUUGAACGCUGGCGGCAUGCCUUACACAUGCAAGUCGAACGGUAACAGGUUAAGCUGACGAGUGGCGAACGGGUGAGUAAUGUAUCGGAACGUGCCCAGUUGUGGGGGAUAACUGCUCGAAAGAGCAGCUAAUACCGCAUACGACCUGAGGGUGAAAGCGGGGGAUCGCAAGACCUCGCGCAAUUGGAGCGGCCGAUAUCAGAUUAGGUAGUUGGUGGGGUAAAGACUCACCAAGCCGACGAUCUGUAGCUGGUCUGAGAGGACGACCAGCCAGACGGGGACUGAGACACGGCCCAGACUCCGACGGGAGGCAGCAGUGGGGAAUGUUGGACAAUGGGCGCAAGCCUGAUCCAGCCAUGCCGCGGGCGGGAAGAAGGCCUUCGGGUUGUAAACCGCUUUUGUCAGGGAAGAAACGCUCUGGGUUAAUACCCUGGGGUAAUGACGGUACCUGAAGAAUAAGCACCGGCUAACUACGUGCCAGCCGCCGCCGUAA